rnacentral:tRNA from 2 species
GGAGAGGUGGCAGAGUGGCCGAUUGCACCGGUCUUGAAAACCGGCGUGCCGAAAGGUACCGGGGGUUCGAAUCCCCCCCUCUCCG